ACCCAAUAGAUACCCUGGUAGUCCACGCGGUAAACGAUGAGUACUAGGUGUAGGAGGAGUGAAAUCCUUCUGUGCCGAAAGCAAAAAACGCGCUAAGUACUCCGCCUGGGGAGUACGGCCGCAAGGCUAAAAACCUCAAAGGAAUUGACGGGGGUCCCGGCACAAGCAGCGGAGCGUGUGGUUUAAAAUUCGAUGCAACACGAAGAACCGUUACCUGGGUUUGACAUCUGCGUAGUAGUGAACUGAAACGGGGUAACGGACUCUUCGGAGAGCGCAGACAGGUGCUGCAUGGCUGUCGUCAGCUCGUGUCGUGAGAUGUUGGGUUAAACGUCCCGCAACGAGCGCAACCCCGUAUUGCCAGUU
rnacentral:rRNA from 1 species